rnacentral:snRNA from 18 species
AUACUUACCUUGUUCGAACAUCUUGAGCCCAAGCAUUCAAGUUGUUGCACAGAUAUCAUUCCAUUGCACAUUGGAGUUGGUGACUGUGCCGGAAACACUCUUGAGUCUUCCGCGAGCGCAAUUUUUGUCCC